rnacentral:rRNA from 1 species
GACGAACGCUGGCGGCGUGCUUAACACAUGCAAGUCGAGCGGUAAGGCCCUUUCGGGGGUACACGAGCGGCGAACGGGUGAGUAACACGUGGGUGACCUGCCCUCAGCUCUGGGAUAAGCCUGGGAAACCGGGUCUAAUACCGGAUAUGACUCCAUGACGCAUGUUGUGGGGUGGAAAGCCUUGUGCGGCUGAGGAUGGGCCCGCGGCCUAUCAGCUUGUUGGUGGGGUNANGGCCUACCAAGGCGACGACGGGUAGCCGGCCUGAGAGGGCGACCGGCCACACUGGGACUGAGACACGGCCCAGACUCCUACGGGAGGCAGCAGUGGGGAAUCUUGCGCAAUGGGCAAAGCCUGACGCAGCGACGCCGCGUGAGGGAUGACGG